UAACAAACAGAGUUAGUCUCUAAGGUGCCACAAGGACUCCUCAUUGUUUUUGCUGCUUUACAGUUUCACUGUAAAGAUAGUCACCUGAAUCCUCGGUGUUUCUUGCCACAGUUCUGGAACUGCUGUGCAGUCUUUGAAAAGAAGCAGCGAUUUUGGGUCAAUUUUUUCAGUGAUUUCUUUGAAGACGACACCUGCUGUAAAUAGCAGUUUGGCUUUUGCUAAACUGUAGGCAAGGCAAAGAUCAUUCUGUGCAUCUUUGACAUCCUGGUUAAGAAAGUCGGUCAUUGACAUUACCUGGCUUCCUCUUUUUGCUUUGGCCUCCUUGAUGAAUUUGUCCUUCUCUAUACUCGACAUGUUAGAAGUCUUGGACAUUUUUUUCCACCACUUCUCAGCAUGACAUGUUGCCGACCCAUGGUCUGACGUGAAAACGCAGAGUCCCAUCAACCGUUGUCUGGUGGUUUGGGUCACCGCUACAUGCAGCAAAAACGGAUGGACUCUUCUUCUCUACUGGCUUUUUCUUCUGAGCUAAUUAAUAUUAGGGAUAUUUCAUAUGACGCCUCUACCACGGAGUUCAAUUUCUCAGGUUUGUUUACUUAAAAACCACUGCUGUGCUGGGGUCUUCCUUUUUAAUAUGAAAUCAGAUUGCAAAGCAGAUCCGACGGGAUAUUUUGGGUUAAUUUUGACAUGGGUUUGUGUAAAAUACGGCUCUAAAUUGAACUUUUUCCACCCGGUUUUAGCAUUAUGUGCCAAACAGACAGUUUGAAAUCUUUCUCUUCUCUAAACAACAACUGGGUUUCCCACCUCAUGUUAAAUUUUGUGAUAUCAUCUUCAUAUUUUUGUUUUGAUGUGCUGGGCCUACUCGAGGACAUUUUGAUGAUGAUGGAUGAUGAUAAUACACCAACUCUGAAAAAGUUUAUUCACGUCUGAAGUAGCUUGCAGCGUCAGUAGAAAAUGUGUGGUGGGUGAGGGUCUGGCUGGGCUCUGCUGCUGUUCCUUGUCCCUCCUUGUCUUCUUUCUGGAACAGCAGAGCUGGCUACCUGGGACACCCCUGUGUUUUACCCCACUCGGGUCCUAUUGACUGAAAGUUGCUCGUGUUGGUUGUUCAUUAUUUUUGUUUCAAUUCUUAGAUGUUUUGACUUCUGUGCACGCCGCAAACAACGUGAUUUUAUAAUUGUGUUUCGUGCCAGUGCCGAAGGCCCGAUGAGCCACUUGCAUCACAUGUGCCACGGAUGCCACCCCCACAGUAACGGCAUCCUCAGGCGGCCAGUUAAACUGGUUUUACAGACUUUUGUGCCACCAGGGCAACCGGAAGUGCCAUAGUGGGUCGGAGAAUCUGACCCGUGAGUGCCCAAGGUACAAGUGGAGUCUGUGUGGGCAGGCCUCGAUGCCGGGAUUGGUAUGUAGCUGUUCACUGUGCUCCCCUGGGACCUAGCUGCUUUGCCUUCCCCACCCCGUGGGUUUCUCCCGCUUCACCCAGGGGCAGGGAAGUCCAUGGUGCAGGCGAAGCGGCUGGAGGCACAAUGGGCUGAACACAGCUAAGCUGAGCCGGGGGGUGAUCUGGUCCCGAGUGAGCGAAAUCGUGGCUCUUACCUUCAACUGCUAGACACACAGCCACAGGACGCUCCCAAGAGCUGGUACACUGGAUUUCCCCGUGCCUUGGCCUUGGACACGUGGGGUCAUCGCUGCAGGUCGGUGCUCUGACUUGUGCAGAAGCAUCACUGUCACCAGGCGACUGGCCCUUGUAAGGGGGAGCAGGGUCCAGUGCACCUCUGCCUGAUUAGCUGUUUCCCUGUUGGGCUUAAGGGCAGGAGAUAGCAGCAGGGGACGGGCUGCUCUCUGGGGGCCUCUCUCAGCCCAGGGAGGUAAGGGACAGAAUUACUCAGAGAGCUGCUGGAAGGGAUCCUGGUGGAAGCAGCUGGGGAAAUUGUGGGAGGAGAUGGGCUAUCGACAACACAAUGAAACUCAAUAAAGACAAAUGUGAGGUGAUGUGAUGAAGUGGGGGGUUUUCUUGUUUUCUGUGGAGUUUCAAUGGUUUGCAUGCGGAGGGGGUGGGACUCAGUUUCCCUGGGUGUUACUGGUUUAACGAGGUGAGGGGAGAGGGAGUGUGUUUUGCAGAGGACCGGAGAGAGGACGUGGGGACCCAGCCGAUGGCCGGGAGGAUGGAUACCCCAGCGACCGGUGACCUGAGACCCCGACCCGGAGGCCCAGCUGAGGAGACUCAGCCGGUUCUGGCCAGUGGGCGGACAGUGGGCUGCAGAGUGAGGACCCAGUGACCUAACCAGCCGGUUCCAGCCAGAGGACAGAAGCAGGAGAGGAGGCCCCGGUUUACGACCCACUUUACCUGGAGAGAAGACAAUGGACAGAGAUGCUGCCAGGGCCACAGGCUGUCAUUUGCCAGAACUUCACAUACAACACACUGAGGC